CACCACUAGUUUUUCUUUCUCUCUCUCUCUCUUUUUUUUUUUUUAAGAUUUAUUUAUUUGAGAGUGAGAAACAGCGAGCACAAGCAGAGGGAGAAGCAGACCCCCUUGCUGAGCUGGGAGCCUGACGUGGGGCUCGAUCCCAGGACCUGGAGAUCGUGACCUGAGCCGAAGGCAGAUGCUUAACCAUCUGAGCCACCCAGGCGCCCCUCCCCCUUUUUUAAAGAUUUAUUUACUUAUUACCACUAGUUUCUUUAUAAGUAACACCACAGGCAACUCUGGCUGCAGGCGACUGACGCCGGACAAGACUGCUCGCACUGGGCCUUCGCUGCCCAGGAGACGGACCCAGACCUCCACCAGGGCCCGGCAGGGCUUGCCCACCAAGGCUCUGACAGGUCUGCUCCCUCCCGGAGCACCUCAGCGCCCCAGACGCGACGGCCUGUGGAGGCCGAGAGGGAUCCCCGCUCCGUGCGGCCCCUUGGCUCGGCCUGCCCAGCUCCCUGCGGCCCCCACAACGGGCGACCGGCUCGCCGAGGGCUGCAUCCAUCCCGCUCCGGCCGCACCCCCCAGCCGCACACGCAGGAACACCCACCUCCGGCCCACACCGCUGCCAAAGGAUCUCCCACUACUUCAGCUCUCCAAGAAAUUCCGGCAUCCAUCCACUCUCCUUACCCACUGCGUCCACCUACUCCAAAUUCUCAUUACCAUCCCCUGAACAGGGUGAAUGUACAGCCUUUCUCUAGAUACCUUCCUUUAAGCACCACUCGCCUGCCCGCCCAGCUGACGGAGCUGCUAUAGUCCUCUUCAAGCGCAGCUGCGAUCAAAAAUCUUCACUGGCUCCCUGUUGCCUGUCGGUUAAAGGCCAAAUUUAUUAACUUAGAUACAAAACUCUGACUUUAUUUUCUGUUGUUCCCCUUUCAUCCUCCCUUGUCCCUGGCAAACCAGACUGUAUGAAUUACCCCAUUACCUUUCUAAAGACUGCUUCCGUCUCUUUCUCCAUGGAAUACCCUUCCCUCCCCAUCUUCUUAGUAUGUUGAAAUUCUGUCCAUUCUUUAAAGCCAGAUAAAGUGAC
rnacentral:lncRNA from 1 species